AUGCAGCCCAAGAUGGGUAAUAUGGAUAUGGAUUAUCAGGUUUUUCAUAAUGCAUUUUUCAAAUAUCAAACAAAACCCAAGUUCACUAGUCAUGGUGAUCUGCAUUAUGAAGGGAAAGAGCUUGAGCUGAAACUUAAGAUAAUGAAACCAGGUAUGCUGUCCCAGGAGCUUAAGAAAGCUCUUGGUAUGCCUGAUGAUGCCCUGCCCUCAUGGCUUACCAGGUUGCAGUUCUUUGGUCGUCCAACCUCUUAUCCUUAUCUGAAGAUCCCAGGUUUAAAUGCCCCAAUCUCUCGUGGGGACAGUUUUGGUGAUGGACCCGAUGAGGAAGAACCUCUCAAUCGCAGCAAACACUGGGUAGAUUCAGAAGACGAAGAGGAUGAAGAGGAAGAAGAGGAGGAACUAAUUAUUCAUGCGGAAAUAGAAGAAGGCAUUCGGUCUGUUGACACCAUCUCAAGUACUCCAGCUGCUGUGGAAACACCUGAUGUUAUCGACCUUCGAAGCUGCAGAGGAAGGAUGCAGAUAACCAGCCAGGUACGUGCUGGUGGCAGCUCAAGAUAA
rnacentral:rRNA from 1 species